AACGAACGCUGGCGGCAUGCCUAACACAUGCAAGUCGAACGAGAUCCUUCGGGGUCUAGUGGCGCACGGGUGCGUAACGCGUGGGAAUCUGCCCUUAGGUUCGGAAUAACAGUUAGAAAUGACUGCUAAUACCGGAUGAUGACGUUAAGUCCAAAGAUUUAUCGCCUGAGGAUGAGCCCGCGUAGGAUUAGCUAGUUGGUGUGGUAAAGGCGCACCAAGGCGACGAUCCUUAGCUGGUCUGAGAGGAUGAUCAGCCACACUGGGACUGAGACACGGCCCAGACUCCUACGGGAGGCAGCAGUGGGGAAUAUUGGACAAUGGACGCAAGCCUGAUCCAGCAAUGCCGCGUGAGUGAUGAAGGCCUUAGGGUUGUAAAGCUCUUUUACCCGGGAUGAUAAUGACAGUACCGGGAGAAUAAGCCCCGGCUAACUCCGUG
rnacentral:rRNA from 1 species